CUGUUUUGCACUGAAACUUGUAAUGUGUUCUACAAACUUCCGGGUUAAUAGGACUGCAGAACUGUACCAAAGGAAGUUGGAGGAAUGAUGACCAAGUAAAUAAUCAAACGGGUAUAAAAUAAUACAAGGAAGAAAGCUACACACGAGUGACGAAUAUCUUCAGGAAAAUUUGAAUCGAAGCACAAUUAAAGGCGGAAAUAACGACUUCCUCGGAACGACCGAGCCAGACACAUAAAAUAAAUCACGGACCUGGAUGAUCCUAAAAGGGACUCACUGUUUAGCGUACGCGAUGGAUUUCGCCAGGCCAUUACCGGAACCGCAGGGUAUCACGCCAAGGGGUAAU